UACGGGGGGGGCAAGCGUUGUUCGGAAUUACUGGGCGUAAAGGGUUCGUAGGUGGCCAACUAAGUCAUACGUGAAAUCCCUCAGCUUAACUGGGGAACUGCGUCUGAUACUGGUUGGCUUGAGUGCAGGAGAGGAACGCGGAAUUCCAGGUGUAGCGGUGAAAUGCGUAGAUAUCUGGAGGAACACCGGUGGCGAAGGCGGCUUUCUGGUCUGUAACUGACGCUGAGGCGCGAAAGCGUGGGGAGCAAACAGG
rnacentral:rRNA from 1 species